rnacentral:rRNA from 1 species
CAUGGCUCAGGAUGAACGCUGGCGGCGUGCUUAACACAUGCAAGUCGAACGGUGAAGCCAAGCUUGCUUGGUGGAUCAGUGGCGAACGGGUGAGUAACACGUGAGCAACCUGCCCUGAACUCUGGGAUAAGCGCUGGAAACGGCGUCUAAUACUGGAUAUGAGCUGCGGAGGCAUCUUCGUGGUUGGAAAGAUUUUUCGGUUUGGGAUGGGCUCGCGGCCUAUCAGCUUGUUGGUGAGGUAAUGGCUCACCAAGGCGUCGACGGGUAGCCGGCCUGAGAGGGUGACCGGCCACACUGGGACUGAGACACGGCCCAGACUCCUACGGGAGGCAGCAGUGGGGAAUAUUGCACAAUGGGCGGAAGCCUGAUGCAGCAACGCCGCGUGAGGGAUGACGGCCUUCGGGUUGUAAACCUCUUUUAGCAGGGAAGAAGCGAAAG